GGUACCUACGGGACGCAGCAGUAGGGAAUUUUCGUCAAUGGGCGCAAGCCUGAACGAGCAAUGCCGCGUGAACGAGGAAGGUCUUCGGAUCGUAAAGUUCUGUUGACGGGGAAAAAAGACCGGGAAAGGAAAUGAUCCCGGAGGAGAUAUUACCCGUCGAGGAAGUCACGGCUAACUACGUGCCAGCAGCCGCGGUAAUACGUAGGUGGCAAGCGUUAUCCGGAUUUACUGGGUGUAAAGGGCGUGUAGGCGGGACUGCAAGUCAGAUGUGAAAAUUAUGGGCUCAACCCAUAACCUGCAUUUGA
rnacentral:rRNA from 1 species